GUCCCCGUAGCUCAGUAGGAUAGAGCGCGCCCCUCCUAAGGGCGAGGCCGAUGGUUCGAUUCCAUUCGGGGACG
rnacentral:tRNA from 1 species